UCAACCGAGAUUCCGCAAGUAGUGGCGAGCGAACGCGGAAAAGCCUGUAUAUGAUAAUGGUUAAGAUAGAAGAAGGGAUUGGAAACUUCCGCCAUAGUGGGUGAUAGCCCCGUAUUUGAAAUCUUAACCAUGGUACUAAGUAUACGAGAAGUAGGGCGGGACACGUGAAAUCCUGUCUGAAUAUGGGGGGACCAUCCUCCAAGGCUAAAUACUCAUCAUCGACCGAUAGUGAACCAGUACCGUGAGGGAAAGGCGAAAAGAACCCCGGAAGGGGAGUGAAAUAGAACCUGAAACCUGAUGCAUACAUACAGUGGGAGCAUCUUUGUGGUGUGACUGCGUACCUUUUGUAUAAUGGGUCAACGACUUACAUUCAGUAGCGAGCUUAACCGAGUAGGGGAGGCGUAGGGAAACCGAGUCUUAAUAGGGCGACUAGUUGCUGGGUGUAGACCCGAAACCGAGUGAUCUAUCCAUGGCCAGGAUGAAGGUGCGGUAAAACGCAUUGGAGGUCCGAACCCACGCAUGUUGCAAAAUGCGGGGAUGAGCUGUGGAUAGGGGUGAAAGGCUAAACAAACUCGGAGAUAGCUGGUUCUCCCCGAAAACUAUUUAGGUAGUGCCUCGAGUAUGAGACUGAUGGGGGUAAAGCACUGUUAUGGCUAGGGGGUUAUUGCAACUUACCAACCCAUGGCAAACUAAGAAUACCAUCAAGUUGCUCCUCGGGAGACAGACAUCGGGUGCUAACGUCCGGUGUCAAGAGGGAAACAACCCAGACCGCCAGCUAAGGUCCCAAAUGAUAGAUUAAGUGGUAAACGAAGUGGGAAGGCACAGACAGCCAGGAUGUUGGCUUAGAAGCAGCCAUCAUUUAAAGAAAGCGUAAUAGCUCACUGGUCGAGUCUUCCUGCGCGGAAGAUGUAACGGGGCUCAAAUCUAUAACCGAAGCUGCGGAUAUACUUUUGUAUAUGGUAGGGGAGCGUUCUGUAAGCCUGUGAAGGUGACUUGUAAAGGUUGCUGGAGGUAUCAGAAGUGCGAAUGUUGACAUGAGUAGCGAUAAAGUGGGUGAAAAGCCCGCUCGCCGAAAGCCCAAGGUUUCCUACGCAACGUUCAUCGGCGUAGGGUGAGUCGGCCCCUAAGGCGAGGCAGAAAUGCGUAGUCGAUGGGAAACAGGUUAAUAUUCCUGUACUUUGAUUCAAUGCGAUGUGGGGACGGAGAAGGUUAGGUUAGCAAACUGUUGGAAUAGUUUGUUUAAGCCAGUAGGUGGAAAGAGUAGGCAAAUCCGCUCUUUCUUAACACCGAGACGUGAUGACGAGUGUCUACGGACAUGAAGUGACCAAUACCACGCUUCCAGGAAAAGCCACUAAGCUUCAGUUGAAUCAGAACCGUACCGCAAACCGACACAGGUGGGCAGGAUGAGAAUUCUAAGGCGCUUGAGAGAACUCGGGAGAAGGAACUCGGCAAAUUGAUACCGUAACUUCGGGAGAAGGUAUGCCCUCUAAUGUUAAGGACUUGCUCCGUAAGCAUCUGAGGGUCGCAGAGAAUCGGUGGCUGCGACUGUUUAUUAAAAACACAGCACUCUGCUAACACGAAAGUGGACGUAUAGGGUGUGACGCCUGCCCGGUGCUGGAAGGUUAAUUGAAGAUGUGCAAGCAUCGGAUCGAAGCCCCAGUAAACGGCGGCCGUAACUAUAACGGUCCUAAGGUAGCGAAAUUCCUUGUCGGGUAAGUUCCGACCCGCACGAAUGGCGUAACGAUGGCCACACUGUCUCCUCCCGAGACUCAGCGAAGUUGAAAUGGUUGUGAAGAUGCAAUCUCCCCGCUGCUAGACGGAAAGACCCCGUGAACCUUUACUGUAGCUUUGCAUUGGACUUUGAAGUCACUUGUGUAGGAUAGGUGGGAGGCUUUGAAGCAGAGACGCCAGUCUCUGUGGAGCCGUCCUUGAAAUACCACCCUGGUGACUUUGAGGUUCUAACCCAGACCCGUUAUCCGGGUCGGGGACCGUGCAUGGUAGGCAGUUUGACUGGGGCGGUCUCCUCCCAAAGAGUAACGGAGGAGUUCGAAGGUUACCUAGGUCCGGUCGGAAAUCGGACUGAUAGUGCAAUGGCAAAAGGUAGCUUAACUGCGAGACCGACAAGUCGAGCAGGUGCGAAAGCAGGACAUAGUGAUCCGGUGGUUCUGAAUGGAAGGGCCAUCGCUCAACGGAUAAAAGGUACUCCGGGGAUAACAGGCUGAUUCCGCCCAAGAGUCCAUAUCGACGGCGGAGUUUGGCACCUCGAUGUCGGCUCAUCACAUCCUGGGGCUGUAGUCGGUCCCAAGGGUAUGGCUGUUCGCCAUUUAAAGUGGUACGUGAGCUGGGUUUAAAACGUCGUGAGACAGUUUGGUCCCUAUCUGCAGUGGGCGUUGGAAGUUUGAAGGGGGCUGCUCCUAGUACGAGAGGACCGGAGUGGACGAACCUCUGGUGUACCGGUUGUUUCGCCAGAAGCAUAGCCGGGUAGCUAAGUUCGGAAGAGAUAAGCGCUGAAAGCAUCUAAGCGCGAAACUCGCCCAAAGAUGAGACUUCCCUUGUGGUUUAACCAUACUAAAGAGUCGUUCGAGACCAGGACGUUGAUAGGUGGGGUGUGGAAGCGCGGUAACGCGUGAAGCUAACCCAUACUAAUUGCUCGUGAGGCUUGACUCU
rnacentral:rRNA from 1 species